rnacentral:lncRNA from 1 species
GUUUUUUUUGUUGUUUUUUUUUUUUGUUUUGUUUUGUUUUUUUGAGGGUGGGGACCCGCAGAAAUGUCAAGACUUUGAACCUGAUUGUCCCAAGAACAGCUAGGUGAUAUCAUCAGAGGAAAGCACUUAGGGAGAGUGGCCCCGUCUAAUCCUCCAUCCUGGUGGGGUUGGGUCCUCAGCUGUUGGCUUCCCUUCAAGCUUAUGUCACCCAGUCACUGAGAAGGCACUGCGAGCCUCAUCUGCUGCUAACGGAGGUUGUGGGCCUGGGGUGUGGAUCAUCCUGCUGUGACCACACGGUAACCCUCCAGGAUGGCUCAGUAGGAACCAUCUCCACACUUGCUGAGAGGAAAGGCAGCGUCAGCAACGGAUACUUUCUUACAAGUCCCUCCCCAGAGCCAGUCUGAGAGGAGAGAGUCUAUUGAAAAGCUGCUCUGAUGUUUACCAGAGUCCCUUCCCGUGGAGAGAAUAGAAUAUUGCUUCCUUGUCUCCUCCGGCUCCCCCUUGCUGUAAUGAUGGGACAAAGGAGGCUUGGCCACAGCACAGGUGUGAGCACAGAUUAGCUCAAUGAAGCAGGAGGCCUGGGCUCUGGGUUCAUAUCAUGGGCCUCGACUGGUGCCCAUCAUGAAAAGGGUGCUUAAGGAUUUUUUAAAUUUUUUUUUUCCUUAAGGAUUUUGAAGAGAGACAAGCAGAGAGGCAGACCAGCAGAAAGCCUUGACUUGGUAUUUAGCCAACGAUGGUGCACAGCCCUGUGAGGUCACAUAUCCAUUUGGGCUCUGUUAAUGUGUUUAGGUUUUGGUUUUUUGAGACAGGGUCUCACCAUGUACCUCCGCUGUCUUGGAACUUUCUCUGCAGACCAGGUAGGCCUCGGACUCAGCAGCGAUGCAUCUGCCUCUGUCUCUCAAGGGUUUGGUUUGGGUAUUUUGGUUUUUGAAGUAGACUCUCACCCUGUAGUUCAAGCUGGCUUCAAACUCACAGCAGUCCUCCUGCCUCAGCCUUCCAAAUGCUGAGAUUACAGGUAUAAUCCCAUCAUGCCUCAGACUUGGUUGUUUACAUUUUGAAGGGUAAAUGGCGCAGGCUUGUGAUCUACACUCAGGAGGGUGAGGCAGGUCCACCAUGAGUUAAAGGCCAGUCUGGGCCACAAAGUGAGAUUCUACCUCAGAAGUAGUAACCUUGCCAGAGAUGGUGUUACCUGCUUCAGAUGUCUGCUGCGAGCCCUCUCAGAAAGCUUGCUGAUGCCCCAAGGCUGCUUGUAACACUGCAGGAAGACGGGGUUUCUAUUUGAAGGCUGCCUUUGCUCCUUGGAUAUCACAGACCAACUCCUUCCCUCCCACACUCCAAACUUGCCAGCCUACCCCUUUACCUCUUGAGCAGAUGGAGUCCUUGUGGAGAUGACCACAGCUCCUUCCUGCAGUUGGCUGGCUCAGCCAGACAGCUCAGUGAGACCACAAAGUCUUCAAGGAUAUGUUCCGGAAGUAUGCGUAUGGGGGUCCUCCCACACUGGUUAGAACCAACGGAGUCCGGAUGGUUUGGAGGUUGCAGCCAGGUCCCUUGGCACAGCCUGGGAUUCGGGCAAGAAGGAAGAAGAGAGACCGCCAUCCUGGUGAACGCUCUGGGUGUCUCCAGGAUCUGGGCCAGUUCUCUCUUCAUUCGUCUGGGGUCUUUGUGACCUCUGUCUCAGAACAUUUCUCCCUGGCAUGAUUUUUUUUUUUUAAAUACAUGUAUGUUAUUUUAUAGGGAUUUAUUUUCCCACUACUGUCAAUACCAGUCACCUUAAAAAGCGAUCAUCCACUUAUUCCUGAAACCCUGUGGGUUUCUUCCACUCUUCCCUCAGCCAACAAAAGC